rnacentral:rRNA from 1 species
GGGGAAUAUUGGACAAUGGGGGCAACCCUGAUCCAGCAAUGCCGCGUGUGUGAAGAAGGCCUUCGGGUUGUAAAGCACUUUUAUCGGGAACGAAACAUUGUCGUCCAAUACCCGGCAAGACUGACGGUACCCGAGGAAUAAGCACCGGCUAACUCCGUGCCAGCAGCCGCGGUAAUACGGAGGGUGCAAGCGUUAUCCGGAUUCACUGGGUUUAAAGGGUGCGUAGGCGGACAGGUAAGUCAGUGGUGAAAUCUCCGGGCUUAACCCGGAAACUGCCGUUGAUACUAUUUGUCUUGAAUACUGUGGAGGUAAGCGGAAUAUGUCAUGUAGCGGUGAAAUGCUUAGAUAUGACAUAGAACACCAAUUGCGAAGGCAGCUUACUACACAGCGAUUGACGCUGAGGCACGAAAGCGUGGGGAUCAAAC